CCUACGGGAGGCAGCAGUCGAGAAUCAUUCACAAUGGGGGAAACCCUGAUGGUGCGACGCCGCGUGGGGGAAUGAAGGUCUUCGGAUUGUAAACCCCUGUCAUGUGGGAGCAAAUUAAAAAGAUAGUAACACAAGCGGAAGAGACGGCUAACUCUGUGCCAGCAGCCGCGGUAAUACGGAGGUCUCAAGCGUUGUUCGGAAUCACGGGGCGUAAAGCGUGCGUAGGCUGUUGCGUGAGUCGUGUGUGAAAGGCGCGGGCUCAACCCGCGGACGGCACAUGAUACUGCGAGACUAGAGUAAUGGAGAGGGAACCGGAAUUCUCGGUGUAGCAGUGAAAUGCGUAGAUA
rnacentral:rRNA from 1 species